CCAAGUCGAUUGGAACUAAUGAGC
rnacentral:miRNA from 1 species